UACAGAGGUCCCAAGCGUUGUUCGGAUUCACUGGGCGUAAAGGGUGCGUAGGCGGAUAGUUAAGUUGGGGGUGAAAGCCCGGGGCUCAACCUCGGAAUUGCCUUCAAUACUGGCUAUCUUGAGUGUGAGAGAGGUGUGUGGAACUCCGAGUGUAGAGGUGAAAUUCGUAGAUAUUCGGAAGAACACCAGUGGCGAAGGCGACACACUGGCUCACUACUGACGCUGAGGCGCGAAAGCGUGGGGAGCAAACAGG
rnacentral:rRNA from 1 species